GAAUGGUGUCACGAGGGUCUCACUGUCUUAAGGAAAUCUCCAGUGAAAUUGAAUUUGUAGUGAAGAUGCUACAUCCAAAUUGUUAGACGAGAAGACCCCAUGGAACUUUACUGGAAACUUAUGUCGCUGACUUAAAUAGUUUUAAAAUGUGGUGCGGAUUAAUUAGGUUAAAAAGCUCACUUUUUUAUUUGAAGAAAGGCAACUCAAAAACUUAUGUCUUUGGGAUUUGAUAAGUGGGACAGUUUGGUUGGGGCGAUCGCCUUUAAAAAAGUAACGAAGGCGGGCUUAAGAUAUAUAUUUAGUUAUGUCUGACUGCCAGGGGGAAACCUAGAGCAGACACUUAUCUUUGGAUGGUGGGUUUAAGUGACCCGUUGAUUUAGGGUGAAAUAGUUAACGAUAAACAAAUAAAAGUUACCCUGGGGAUAACAGCGUAAUAACGUCAGAGAGUUUUCAUCGACGACGAUGUUU
rnacentral:rRNA from 1 species